ACCGGCGCACGGGUGCGUAACGCGUAUGCAAUCUACCUUGUACAGGGGAAUAGCCCAGAGAAAUUUGGAUUAAUACCCCAUAGUGUUUAGAAGUGGCAUCACUUUUUUACUAAAGUUCCAACGGUACAAGAUGAGCAUGCGUCCCAUUAGCUAGUUGGUAUGGUAACGGCAUACCAAGGCUAUGAUGGGUAGGGGUCCUGAGAGGGAGAUCCCCCACACUGGUACUGAGACACGGACCAGACUCCUACGGGAGGCAGCAGUGAGGAAUAUUGGUCAAUGGUCGCAAGACUGAACCAGCCAUGCCGCGUGCAGGAAGACGGUCCUAUGGAUUGUAAACUGCUUUUAUACAGGAAGAAACCCUCUCACGUGUGGGAGCUUGACGGUACUGUAUGAAUAAGCAUCGGCUAACUCCGUGCCAGCAGCCGCGGUAAUACGGAGGAUGCGAGCGUUAUCCGGAAUCAUUGGGUUUAAAGGGUCCGUAGGCGGUUUAAUAAGUCAGUGGUGAAAUCUGGUCGCUCAACGAUCAAACUGCCAUUGAUACUGUUAGACUUGAAUUAUUGUGAAGUAACUAGAAUAUGUAGUGUAGCGGUGAAAUGCUUAGAUAUUACAUGGAAUACCAAUUGCGAAGGCAGGUUACUAACAAUUUAUUGACGCUGAUGGACGAAAGCGUGGGGAGCGAACAGGAUUAGAUACCCUGGUA
rnacentral:rRNA from 1 species